GAUGAACGCUGGCGGCGUGCCUAAUACAUGCAAGUCGAGCGAACUGAUUAGAAGCUUGCUUCUAUGACGUUAGCGGCGGACGGGUGAGUAACACGUGGGCAACCUGCCUGUAAGACUGGGAUAACUUCGGGAAACCGAAGCUAAUACCGGAUAGGAUCUUCUCCUUCAUGGGAGAUGAUUGAAAGAUGGUUUCGGCUAUCACUUACAGAUGGGCCCGCGGUGCAUUAGCUAGUUGGUGAGGUAACGGCUCGCCAAGGCAACGAUGCAUAGCCGACCUGAGAGGGUGAUCGGCCACACUGGGACUGAGACACGGCCCAGACUCCCACAGGAGGCAGCAGUAGGGAAUCUUCCGCAAUGGACGAAAGUCUGACGGAGCAACGCCGCGUGAGUGAUGAAGGCUUUCGGGUCGUAAAACUCUGUUGUUAGGGAAGAACAAGUACGAGAGUAACUGCUCGUACCUUGACGGUACCUAACCAGAAAGCCACGGCUAACUACGUGCCAGCCGCCGCCGUAAGAC
rnacentral:rRNA from 1 species